AUGAUCGUCGUGUCCUGCAUGCUGGAUCCUCUACUAUUCUAUGUUCUUUCCAAAAGCAUGCCAAUCCCUAUGUUAAAGAUCAAGGCAGCAUAUCAGUUUUUCCUAUAUACUUUACUUGGAUCCGUUUUUAUGCUAUUAGCUAUUCUGUUGAUUCUUCUCCAAAUAGGAACCACCGAUUUACAAAUUUUAUUAACUAAUGAAUUUAGUGAGCGGCGCCAAAUCCUUCUAUGGAUUGCUUUUUUCGCCUCUUUUGCCAUCUAA
rnacentral:rRNA from 1 species